UACGUAGGGCGCAAGCGUUGUCCGGAAUUAUUGGGCGUAAAGAGCGUGUAGGCGGUCCGGUAAGUCCGCUGUGAAAGUCGGGGGCUCAACCCUCGAAUGCCGGUGGAUACUGUCGGGCUAGAGUGCGGAAGAGGCGAGUGGAAUUCCUGGUGUAGCGGUGAAAUGCGCAGAUAUCAGGAAGAACACCCGUGGCGAAGGCGGCUCUCUGGGACGGUACUGGACGCUGAGACGCGAAAGCCGUGGGGAGCGAACAGG
rnacentral:rRNA from 1 species